rnacentral:rRNA from 1 species
ACUCCUACGGGAGGCAGCAGUGGGGAAUAUUGCACAAUGGGGAAACCCGUACGAUGCAGCCAUGCCGCGUGAGUGAUGAAGGCCCUAGGGUCGUAAAGCUCUUUCGCCAGGGAUGAUAAUGACAGUACCUGGUAAAGAAACCCCGGCUAACUCCGUGCCAGCAGCCGCGGUAAUACGGAGGGGUUAGCGUUGUUCGGAAUUACUGGGGCGUAAAGCGCGCGUAGGCGGACUGGAAAGUUGGGGGUGAAAUCCCGGGGCUCAACCCCGGAACUGCCUCCAAAACUCCCAGUCUUGAGUUCGAGAGAGGUGAGUGGAAUUCCGAGUGUAGAGGUGAAAUUCGUAGAUAUUCGGAGGAACACCAGUGGCGAAGGCGGCUCACUGGCUCGAUACUGACGCUGAGGUGCGAAAGUGUGGGGAGCAAACAGGAUUAGAUACCCUGGUAGCGACUGA